rnacentral:rRNA from 1 species
UACGUAGGGGGCGAGCGUUGUCCGGAUUUAUUGGGCGUAAAGAGCUCGUAGGCGGUUCGAUAAGUCGGACGUGAAAUCUCCACGCUCAACGUGGAGGGGCCGUUCGAUACUGUCGUGACUCGAGUCCGGUAGGGGAGUGUGGAAUUCCCGGUGUAGCGGUGAAAUGCGCAGAGAUCGGGAGGAACACCCGUGGCGAAGGCGGCUUCCUGGGCCGCGCCUGACGCUGAGACGCGAAAGCGUGGGGAGCGAACGGG